GGCGGAUGUAGCCAAGUGGAUCAAGGCAGUGGAUUGUGAAUCCACCAUGCGCGAG
rnacentral:tRNA from 2 species